CAUAAACGUGUCUUGUGCAGUGUGUAUAGCCAUUCACAAUUUGACCGUUUGUUCUGAUUUAACUUGAAAAAGUAUUUCGUUCGUCCUAAAUCUGUUGAAAAUGGGGUCUACACUUAAAGAAACAUUUUCCGUUGAAGAAGUUGUGAAUUGGCUGGAUUUAAAUGGUUUUCAAGACAUCAGCCAAACGUUUUGUGACGAGGGCAUUGAUGGCGAUGCAAUGUCCUGCUUGACGGAAGAUGCCUUAAAAUCAUUGGUUGUCAGGAUUGGCCCCAGGAUGAAGUUAUUGAAAGCCAUCAAACAAAUGAACACUAGAUGCUCGACUUCUACAUCUGAGUCUGCUAGUGACUUAUCUACAUGUGAUAUGCUGGCGAAGUGGCAAGACUCCAAUUCUCAAGGAAAUGCAUCAAAUCCUGGUGGGCAAUCUGGUGUGUGUGAAUCACUAUCAAGUGCAAGCAGUGACAACUCAGUAGCAAAGGCAGAAAACAAUGGACAUCGCCAUUUGUUCUUCCUGACUAUUUCCC